GUCUAGGUAGUAUAGUGGUUAGUAUGCUCGCUUGUGGCUGUGCUACGUACAGACUACGUAACUGCUUUCGCGAUUGACGUCAGUUCGAUUCUGGCCCUGGACA